CCCCCCCCCCCCCCCAUCAAAUAUCAAAUGGUCCGUCCCUAAGUAUUCUUGAUUGGAAAGAACCUGGUUUGUUUCAAUAAUCAGUAGAACUGAAACGAUAACAAGUGGGGAAGAUAACAGGUUAUGAUUAUGCAAUCUGCAGAAAUAAUGGGCGGUCUGCCUCCAAAUCAAUUAUGCAAUCUGCAAAAAUAUUGGGAGGUCUGCCUCCCAAAUUGACAUGUGAAAUUUUUAAUAGGGAUGCUUAGUCCCCCCUGAACUCCCAACCAGGGGGUAGCUUAGCCCCCUGAGACACCCCCCACCACACUUAAUAAUCACUUUUAACAAGAAAAGUGCUGUUUACAAAAUAUAAGUGCGAUACUGUCAUACUGAAGUCUUCAUGAUGGUAUCAACAUAAGAUUCGAUAAUUGUUCCAUCAUUUAACGUUUUACUUUCGAUACGUCAACAUAGGUUUUGAAUACUUUUCAUCGUAAAUAUCUAAAAUACGUGAUUUUGAAAAACUGCUUCUUGGUGAGCCAAGGAAGGAAGCUGAGCUUAGUAUCAAGGUCAUGUAGAUGCACGCAAACAAUGCUGUGAAAAUUCUCACCUUUCGAAAAUAUCUCAUCCAAAAUAGGAUGCAUUCUAUUCACAUGAUCACUUAUUUUUUAGAAUACAAUACAUUAGGCCAAGUAAAAAAAACAAGUGUUUCGCGCCCUCACCCCAGGCCGUUCCCUUUUUUUUACUUGUUUACCAGUCCAAAUGACAGACUAUUAUUUUG